AGUAUUUUGACUAUACAAAGGUAUUGAAAUAAGACUUUAAUUGAGUGCUAAGAGAAUGGAAUUUCAUAAAAUUUCUUUUUUAAUUUUAAAAAUUGAAAUUAAUUUUAUAUGUGAAGAAACAAUAAUAAAAAUUAAGGACAAGAAGACCCUAAGAAUUUUAAAAAUUUCAAUAAAAUGUUGCAUUUUAUUGAAAUUUUUUAAUUGGGGCGAUUAUUAAAUAUUAAAAACUUUAAUUUUUUAAAAAAGAACCAAUAAUAUUGGUUAUUUGAAAAAAUACUCUAGGGAUAACAGCGUAAUAAUUUUUGAUAGUUCUUAUAGACAAAAUAGUUUGCGACCUCGAUGUUGGAUUAGGAUUCUUUUUUAAUGAAGAAGUUAAAAAAAGAAGUUUGUUCAACUUUUAAAAUCCU
rnacentral:rRNA from 1 species